ACUUUAGUUCCGACCUUGCAGUUCAUUCCAGGUAGAACACAAGGGGGCGCUCACACACUGUACUUAAGCGCGGUCAGUGCGGCGCAAUGAGAUAGAAGCAUGGUUCAGAAGGAAGCCUCCGCCCAAGCAAUCAUAGCAUCCACGGAAGUUGACCACCUAUGUUCCCACAAAGGGCGACAUUGUACUUGUUGUGUGUCAUUGGGAAGGUGGCCUUCCAUGACCGGCUGCAUCAGCGUUCCUAUGCUGUAGGUUCAGCCCUUAAGGGAAUUGGGGCGCAGGCAGUGCAGCAGGAAACCGGGCAGACUCCUUUUAAGGCCCAGUGACUCCUGAGCCUCCAACACUGCUCAUGUGGAAGGAGAUUCCCUGCUGUGACAGAGGCAGGGAAGCUGAAGAUAUGGCACGCCCAGCAUAAGCAAAGCAUCUCUUGACACCAUUCCCAGUGCUGGAGUCUUCAAAGAACAUCCGAGAGCUGGAGGAGUCGGCCUGCUCUGUGAAGAGAUUCCAACUGGUGUGUGUCCUUGCUGAGGGUUCUAAUUGCCGAGGAGGAGGAGGAAGUAUGCUGAGGGUCACAACAAAGACAGGGUCUGGGGGUGUUGCCCAGAUUGCUCUCAGAACUCUUGGGCUUAAGUAACUCUCCUGUUGCAGCCUCCAACUCACUGGGAUUUGUGGCAUGCAUCAUGUUAGUUGGCUUUUUGUUGACUUCUGUGAUUGUGGCCCAAGUUCUAAAUGCUUUAUAUUCCCCUCUCAUUUAGUAAACUCCAAAGACACUUGCUGAUUUCUUAUCAGGGACCAAGCUUACUUUCCCCAAGCACUGGAAUAUAGCUCCAGUGUGCUGGCUCUCCCUCCACCAGAACCCUCACGCCCAGUCUUUCCGUGCCCCAGCUGUUAGUGUGUGCUGUGGGGGGUUCCAGUUCCCUUCCCAUUCACUUUGAGGAGGGUGAGCAGGGCAAACACCAAGCUGCUCCUCUGCCCACCCACCUACCAUGGGCAGAGGGAACCAGAGUUCUGGGACAUAGGCUUCUGCCCAGUGUUUCAAGAGGCCACCUCUGAGUGUGCUGAAGGUGUCAACACAGAGGGAGGACCACAGAGGGGACUCCUUCCUCAGCUCUCCUACUUGUCACAUAGAUGUGACAUACACACAUGGAUGUGCAAGGAGAUGUGCAGGUUAGGGGAUCCUAACAAUGUGCAAUUUAGUCCAAAGUGAAUCUCUGUAGAGACACCCACUGAACGAGUUUGCCCACAUAGGUUAGAAUUCUCACACGAGUCACAGGGAGGUGGGAUGUUGUGGACCAAAGCUCUGGAGAAACUCCGUAUGUAGCAUGGGCUGGCCACUAGAGGAACAGUGCCACUUAAAUAUACCCUCCUGCUUAAACCUCAACCCUUCCUAAGGUCAGUGCUUUAUAAAGCUGCGUCAUGUGUCCUGGAGUAACAGCGUGGGCACUGGAGGAAUACAUGUGUGAGCAUUUGAGGGCUAGCAGGAAUAGCUGUGUAUCUAGCUAGCGGUCCUGCACCAUGUGCAUGCUACUCUCUGAGCAAACAACUACCUUGCAAGGUAGUUUAAACCACAUCUAAAUGCUGUUAAAAUAAGAACUCUGGAUACUGAGAACAAGGCCCAACUCUUCAAAACCUCCAUCUAUAAUGCUAUCAGUGCCUGACUGCAUGAGCUCACGUGGUGGCUUGUUCUGGGAUGCUGAGGCCCCUGAAUCUGUAGGAAGAUACCCGCUGAGCCUGGAAACAAACUCCCUGUCGUUCUGUCUCACAUCCUAAAGCUCCCAGCAAUGCCCACUUUUACCUUUUGUUCUGGAUAGCUCACCUGCCCAGUCAGAAUAAGCAGGGUAGUGAGUCAAUGUGUGUUGGCACCGUCCCCUACGCCUGUGACACUCUUAUCUCCUCCUUAGUGACUUUGGUUAACUGUCACUUUUGGCCACCUAACUGCACUCAGCCUAUGAAGACAUUUUUCCUUCAGCGAUUACUAACCUAUAUAGUCCAUUCCCUUGUUUAUUGUUGACCCUGCUCCCCACCCUCUCAGGCCAACUCUACCAGGGCAAGAUCUGUGCUCGCAAGCCCAAUACCUGCUUUUUGGGUUUCCUAAUGCUUAUGAAUAGAAAAUGACUUGCAAGCCACCGAGAAUGUUUGGGAUAAGCAAUCCCAUAAACCCAAUUCAGUGGGUGAAUUCUGCUAGAAAGCAAGAAUGUUAAUAAGCUAAAUAUUGUACAACCACCCUAAGGAGGAACACUUUCCUCAGCCUUCCUUCGACCUGCAGUGACAGUGUUCUAGGAUGUAUGUGUGUGCGACUGCACACGUGUGUGUGUGUGUGUGUGUGUGUGUAUGUGUGCGUGCACACACUCCACCCCUAAGCUGCACCAGUCUCCUUGCAGACCCCCAGUCAGAGCUCAUUCUUAGGCUGCUUUCAUUUGGACAGCUUCCUUUAAAAGUCAGAGCCAGGUUGCCUGGGCAGUGCAAUGGGCCACAGGUAUAGAAUAAACAUGGCAGGUGCUGCCCACUGUUGGGAGUCAAGACUCAAUUAAGCUCAAAGCCCACCUUCCAGCCAAUCCGCUAGCUGCAGCUUCUCUGGCAGCCCAGGUCCUUACCUUUUCUCGAGCUGUAACUUUUAACUCUGAUGGACUCAAGUCUGCUUUGUGCUCCCUCAAAUCUAGUUCUUAAAUCCUUCUAGAGAUCUGAUUCUGGUCUUUUGCUCAGUUAAUGUGACUAGCUUUUCUACCCCCCUCCCUUUUUUUUUUUUUUUUUUUUUUUGAGACAGAAAACCCAGGCCAGCCUUAAACUCCUCCUGACCCUCCUCCUAGGUGCUGUGAUUAUUGCAGCUCUGAACUAUUUCUCUGGCUUGGCCCUAGCCAAGCAUAUUAACACAAUUCUCGAUUCCUCUCAUUCAGAAUUACCGUCAGCUCUUUUAGCACUCCACCCUAAGGCUCAGAAUGGAUCUCUGAAGCACUCUCCUCCUGUACAAACCCUUCUUUUCUCAAGAGCCCACUAGUUUUGGCUUCUCCCCAUGCUUUCCUUGUUGUCCCUUCAGUCAGGAUGCUACUCCAAUUUUCACCCUUUUUUAUUUUUUGCGUUUUUCCAGUCUUAGUUCUUUCUUUUUUUUUCCCUUUAAAUAUUCUUUACUUUAGAAGCCUUCGUCUCCAAAGGACCGAGAGGGUUCAUGCUUUCUCUGCUCGGUCAUCCAAGGGCCUGCAAGCCGUCUGUGAGAAAGACAGUUGCCAAUGACAAGGAACAAAGAUAUGGAGCAUUAGACUGACGACCCCAGUGCCAGAGGCUUCCUUGACAAGGAAGGUGUGGACUGUCAUGUCUGAGGCAAAGUUUGCCUCUGAGCAGGCUAAGAGCAGUUGUUCUGAGGAUUAAAGGACAGUCUAUGAUAUACAGCAAGACGAGAGCCACACACUUCCUCUCUCUUAAAAGAAGUUCUACUGCAGGAUCCUACUAUGUGUAUGUUUGGAUCUUUGCCCUCAAACUAGACAAGAGUCUGGGAAAUCUUAUGUGGUUGUGUUCUAUAGCAACUUAUCCGAUAGCAGAUCUCCAGAUGGUGACAAUCAAAGGUGACUCACUUGAAGCGGGCCACAUACUAGCUGUGUGUUGAAGUGGGGUGGUAAGUACUGAUCCUCCUUGGUAAGUUCUCUGGUAAAUGAGAUGCACUCAGUCAGACACAGCAAAAGGGCUUAGGAUCAGGGACUUGGGAACGGGCCAAAGUCACUAGGUUCUGAUACAAAGGGAGCAUGAAAAAGUCCCUGAAAUAGCCCAAGCAAAUGGAAAAGGAGAUAAGACUUUCAAACAGAGGCAGAUAGAGAAACUCUAGGGGCAAAGACAAAGAUAGCGGGGAAGGGCUGUCUGACCACAGGUAUUAGGAGAUCUGGCAAAAAUGAAAGCGAUUCCUUCUAUGAGGGGAUGGUGACCACUUUUCAUUCCUAGUUAAACAUCAAGAUUCUCUGCCACAUUAUCUUUUGCUUCCUAUUGCUGGGACAAAGUGUGCUCUUGGAGCCUAAUAUACACUAAUAAAUUUUUAUGGGUAAAAAAAGCAGAUAAAAAUAUAGUUGUGAAUGGAGAAAAUGAACUAACUUUUUUUUUGUAAUGGAAUCAAUGUUGCGUUACAAAACAAAUAAAAUCUUUGCAACUAAGUUCUGCUAUUACAGGUUUGCAUCAAAGAAAGAAUGUUUCAGAGGCUAAAUCUUAGCUGCUUGUUUUCCCUGUCCUAAUUUCUCACAUAGACUAUUUACAUUGAUGAAUAAAACUGCCAUUGUGUACACACACACACACACACACACACGGUUUUGAGAAAAACUAGGCAGGGACUGGAAAUAAGGGUCCUGUAUGUGAGUUCUGCCAACUCUGAUUAUGGCCUUUGCAAUGAUCUGGUCCUUAUUUAUGAAGUACAAAUAGAAACUUUUUGGUAGGAAACUCAAAUACACCAAUGAGAACUGGAGGAAGUCACAGGUGUUAUAGCAACAACAGCCCUUCUUGUCCAGGAGGGUUCUUCUAAUUCCACUCACAGAGCAUUAUGCCAGAGGGAUUUCUUUCUAUAUUAGACACACCUACCUUUGUUUUACAAAUCUGUGAAGUUUACUGACAUCAAAAAGGGUCAGGUAAAAAUGACAAUAUUUAUACAUACCUCCCCUCCUUUAAGGUUUUGUAUGUUUGGGGCUGGAGAGAUGGCUCAGUGGUUAAGAGCACUGACUGCUCUACCAGAGGUCCUGAGUUCAAUUCUCAGCAACCACACGGUGGGACUCACAACCACAGCAAUGGGAUCUGACGCCCUCCUCAGGUGAGUCUGAGAGGACAGUGAUGGUGUACUCACAUACAUAAUCCUUUUUUAAAAAAAGGUUUUGUAUGUUUAUAUAAUUUGAUAAGUUUCUCUGUUUCUUAGAACAAACUUUCUAGUUCAAAGAGAAGGCCCAAAUUAUUCAUUUUAAUUCCACCAAUUUAGAAGACACAUCUUUAGUUAACACUUUUAGUAUCAGCCUCUGAAUCUUUCCAUUCAUAAUUUUUAUGCAAAAACUGCAAGCCAAAAUCAUUUUGAAAUUUAUCUCUGGCCUGCAUCCAUGGUUCAGGUUCAAGAUAAGCCAGACUGCUUGCUGACCUUAAGUGCUUGGUAAACUUAUUAAAGCCUCUGUCUUCAUCUCUGAACCUAACUGACAGGAUCCUGGUUGACUGUGCUUGCUACUGUUAUUUUCUCUUUGGCCCCUAUGACCCAUUUCUGCAAUGAGCUGCUUUCCUGUUUCCCAUUUGUCAGUCACCACUGAAAUAGCAGCACUGUGUCUCUAUCUAAUUAAUAGUAAAUAUGAAACAAUUUCAGAAAAACAUAUUAGAGGCAACCACCAUCCAAUGAGUAGCUUUACCCAGGAACCUGGCUUCCCUAACUGCCCUCCUUACAUUCUGCUCCCCGGUCUGGGCGUGGUGUGAUGGGACCUACACAUACACAUAGGAGCACUGACAAAUGCUGUCCACUCUCACUGUCUCCAGUGUGCACACACUCAGGAACCACCAGUCAAUGACAACAACAGCAGACUUAUUUCAUAAAACAUCAGUAAGAUAUUUUAAUGAGAAAACAAAACAAAACAAAAACAAAUCUUAGUCUCAUGUUUCUAUCCAAAGACACUCAAGACUAGAUUCUCCCUGUCCAUCCCUUCUAACUGCAACUUUGUGACCAUUAAUAAAGGCCAGCUUAAAGAUUAAAAAAAAAUUUAAACCUUUUUUUAAAAAGAUUAAGCAAUCAGGCUAGCAAAAAGGUACUCAAUACAUACUUUUUCUCAUAUCAAACAAGCUAAUAUUUCAGUACAGUAUAACUAUACAGAAUAUAUACAAUACA